GGAAACAAGAGAAAAAAAUUAUUUGCAGAUGAGGAAGUUUAUGACAAAAAGGUAAUGAAGCCUGCCUGAAACAACUCAAGUUUCCAAAAUGUCUCUGGAGCCACAGGAAGCCUCAAAAGCCAUCCUUGGAGUUCAGAUGAUAUCCUGAAAAGCCACUGAAGAAGACAAGGACUUAUGAAGUAACAGAACAAAGCAAAGAAAUUAUAUUCAGCUGACAUAGGGAAUGGCAGAAGGGUAAUGAAAGAAGAAGGCCCAGAAGCUGGAGAUGAAUCAAUGAGCAACAAUACAGGCAAAAGUGAAUUGGCUAGGGCUAAUUGGGUUUAAUAAUUAUCAUCCCCUCCUCACGCACAAGUGCAUCAAAGUAGUUUUGUAUUCUCCAUCAUAAAGAUAACCUCCCCAAAUUUUAUAAACCUAACAGAGAAACCCAAAGUGCCCUUUCUCUAGACUCCACUCCAGACAAAUGCCUUUUUCUUUUUCUUUUUUUGUUUUUGUUUUUGUUUUUGUCCUGUUUAUGUUGAAAGAAAAGACAUUACAGGUGCCAUCUGUUCAGCUGCAUCACCUCUAGAACAUUGCCUGGAGAGAUCAUAGAGGAUCGCUAUAUCCCAAGGAUUAACUAACUCUCCCAUAGUUUCAUUUCUCAUGCCUUACUUUUUCAGUACAAAAUACAUGCUGUUAGGGAUUACCAGAGAAGAAAUUCACAGCAGAAACAGCCAAGGAGACAAUCUUGCCUUCAUCCUGAGUCCCACACAGGAUGAAAGAGGUAAUCAGAGGUGUUACAGCCUCUUAGACAUGUGUAGACUCUUGAAUUAAUUACACAGUUCCACUUUCUCCUGUGUGUCUGGAAAUCAAAUCCAAAAUAGCUACAAAUUCUUUGGAGAGGACACCAAUAGGUCACUAGCCAGAUUCACAUUUUAUAUCAUAAGGAUUGAUUUUUUUUUUUUUUUUUUACCUGGGAUUGCAUAAGGAGACCAUUGAAACCUACAUAAUUGUUAAAUUUGGACAGAUUUUCAGCAUUGUAAAGACCACGAAACCCCAUUUGGCCCCCUGUGGGGUCUUAUUAUUGCAGUCAGUUAGCUAAAUAAAUGUGUAAUCUGUAACUGCUGGCAUAAAUUACCUAUUUCACAGCCUUCUCCAGAGCAUGAAAAAACAUCAGAGAGAGACACAGAAAUUCUUUUUUUGUAAUGCCAUUUACUGUGGGCAAAUUGAUGAAACAGCUUAUGUAUCUCUUUCACUAAGCAAGUGACCCCUGAAGGGGAAUGCAUAGCAGCUGGAAUUGUUCAGCCAAUCAAGGCAAGCAGGUGUAGAUGUGACCUACUCGACUUUGCAGCUCAACUUCACAGACUUUACAGAUGGGUUAAAGUCUUGCUGUUUUCUCAAAGCUUGGGCCUGUGUCAGCAGUGGCGGCGGCGGCGGCGGCAGCAGCAGCAGCAGCAGCAUUGCCAGGGAGCUUAUUGGCACACAGAUCCUUGGGCCUCACCCCGGACCCACCCGAACAGAAUCUGCAUUUAAAGCUCCCCAGAUGAUUCAUGUGCACAAUAAAGACUGAGAAGAAUUGGUUUGAAGAUAUGAUACUGAGCUGAUAAAAAACUGCCCCCGAAGCUAUCUGAGGUCUAAGCUCACCACUGAGACAUGAGGAAGAAGGAUAUAUGUACUAUAUUUGUUUACAUGGGCUCUGGAAUCAGAAAAAAAGGAUACAAACACUGGAUCAACCUUUACUAGUUCCGUGCCCUUGGGCACUGAAUAUAGAAUGGCCUGGAAACUUGACUUGUUAACAACCAAUCAAAGGAGAAAUUAAUCUUUCAGUGAUAACUGGAUGAAUAUAAGAACACAGAAAAAAAGAUCCCAAGUCCUUGUUCUGCAGGGUCCUCAUCAACACUGAGCAGCUGAGCAAGUAUGGAGACAGCUCUCCAACCCUGGAAUCCUGCUUGCAUCUGCAUUUGGGCUGGAGCCAGAACUUGAACUGGAGGAGUGGCUGGGAAAGAAAAAUCAAAUGUGUUUGAGGGGAAUCAGUGGAAAAAUGAUUCAAUCAUUUUGGUCCUUGGGGAGAAUGUAGAGCUCAUUCUUCACACAGAAAGCCAUUUAGACUUUCUUGAAGAUCCUUUUCCUUUGAGAGCUAGUUUAUGGUCAACAUGUGGAACAUGGCUAUUCUAUCCAUAUAACCAAUAGUACUAUUUCUCGAAGCCCCGCCAUGUUCUAGCUCAGUCUUCACCAACCCCUAACAAUUCAGAAAAAAAGGAGCCAUAUGGAAAACCUGUACAUUUAAUAAGCCUAAUGCCCUUCAUGACAUUUAAUAGUUAUAACCUAUGCAUAAAUGAUUGGUAACAGGCAAUUAAUCCAAUGUAAAGCCCUUAUAGUUUAUUUUCUAUGUACAGAUGGCAAACCCUAUUAGUGUAUUACUAAAGGAAACUUAAUCAUUUUUAACAAGUCCUAUUGCCAUCUUCCAUAAAUUCUUGUGUUAAAAUUACUGUUUUUGGCAACCAUGUUAUUGGGUCCCUGAACGGAUACUAAUGUCAAGAGUCUGGUGCCCAGAGUGAGCAAGCAAAUAGGGAAGCAUCUCUAAAAAGCAAAAACAAAAACAAAACAACAACAGCAAAAAACAAGUGUGUUUUGUUGAACUUCAAGUGACAUCACUAAAAACUUGUUCUUUUUUAUACUAUUUGAUUAUCUUCCAUCAUUCAGAUCCUAAAGUUGCAUUUCAUUCCAAUAGCAUUGCUUUCCUGAAGCUUCUAGACCAAUGAUGGCUUCAGCGACACUCUGCAUUCUUUUUAAAGUUGGCAGAAAAUUCCCUUUAUGAAGUUUCCUAAUUUAUUAACCAUUUCCCUCUUUUACCUUCCUGUCCUUCCCAUGUCUAGGCAUGAUUCUUCCUCAUCAUUUGGUGCAUGUGCCCUGUAUCUCUUAUCAAUCCAUGUUUCAAUCUCACUUUUUAAUAUCAGAGCUGAUAUCACAAUCAACUUUCAGUUUUUAUGUCUAAGUUUGUUAAAAUUUGAUCCUGAGAGUAUUUUCUUCCAAAAUAGUAUUGUUCUAUUUCUGUUCCUAUUUCUUGUUCCAUAGGUUUAGGCAAUGUGGACACCUUGGAAGAAUUACUCUCUGUUGAAGGUGUGCAUGCUCCCAAUGGUUAGAACAAAAUGUUAUCCUUGUAAUGUGGUAGUAAAAACCACUGUUUUCACUUUAAAACUUUUUUAAUUUUGAAAAUACAAUAAUUAUCAGAUUGAAUAUUGUUGGACAUUCCUAACUUAUUGAAAUAUGUUUUUAUGUUCUGCCUUUCUAAAAAUUAUUUCUCUAAACUUGACAUCAUUGAGCUAUUUUGUAAAAUCAUUUUAAACAGUGGCCGCAUAUUUUACUCCAUAAUAAAAAGGAAAAGCAUCUCCUGGGAAGCAUUACUCUUUAGAAUUCAUGUAAUUCAAGGAUAAUCAAUAUGUCACCAGAAACAAAUAACUGAGACCAGACUCGUUUUGGGGGAGGUGAUAGAUAAAUAUGAAUAUAGGGCAUCUCAAAGAGGGUACAAGGGUAAGUCCUAAAAAUAUAGAAAAGAGAGGAUGCAUAUGCUAAAAUUUGUUUUAUUGAAUUAUAAUUUGCUUUGUAUUGAAUUUUCAUGAAAAUAAUAUGGCUUGAUGCACUUAACAUUUUUCGUACCAUAGAACAAUUCUUCAGUCUAUUUAAGCCUAUGAACUCUUUUCUCAGAAUAAAGUUUCUAAAGACAUAAAAUAAAAUACAUACCACUACCAAGAAAAUAGUUACAUUAUAGUUAUCAAAGAACUGAAGAAAAAAUCUAUGAUGUAGUAACAUAGUUGCCUUUUAUUAUUGUAUUAAAUAUGAAGGCCUGUCAUUAAGUUAUAAUAAAUAACAUAAUUACAAAUGGCAUUGAGCAUAAAUAAUAUUUUGAUACCUCUUUAACAACUGUAAUAAAAUAUGAAAAUGUCUGUCAUUUGUAUUAGUGACAAGGUUAUGGGUACUGCUAAUACUACUAUGAUUUGUUACUUACAUUCAUAACUGAAUGAAGUGGCAAAUUUCAAUUAGAUGUUCGUGAGAAUAAAUAUGUAUUUUUCCCAUCUAAAUAACAGAUCUCUUGAAU